rnacentral:rRNA from 1 species
AUGAACGCUAGCGGCAGGCUUAAUACAUGCAAGUCGAACGGGAUUCGGUGUAGCAAUACAUUGAUGAGAGUGGCGCACGGGUGCGUAACGCGUAUGCAACCUACCUUUAACAGGUGAAUAGCCCCGAGAAAUCGGGAUUAAUACACCGUAACAUUGCGGGAUGGCAUCAUUCUGCAAUUAAAGAUUUAUCGGUUAAAGAUGGGCAUGCGUGACAUUAGCUAGUUGGUGAGGUAACGGCUCACCAAGGCGACGAUGUCUAGGGGUCCUGAGAGGGUUAUCCCCCACACCGGUACUGAGACACGGACCAGACUCCUACGGGAGGCAGCAGUAAGGAAUAUUGGUCAAUGGGCGCAAGCCUGAACCAGCCAUGCCGCGUGCAGGAAGACGGCCCUAUGGGUUGUAAACUGCUUUUGUCAGGGAAUAAACCUGUCUACGAGUAGGCAGCUGAAGGUACCUGAAGAAUAAGCAUCGGCUAACUCCGUG